UAGCAGUCCUAAUAUAUAAUAUUUCUCAAAACGUCUUCUCUAUUCCAAAAAAACAAAACAAAAAAAAAACUACAAAAACAACAUGGCUCAUAUGUAAGCGCAGCAAACUCGGCACCAUCACUCAUUUCACAAAUGAAGGGGUGUUUGCAUUGAAUCUUAAAGAUACAGCAGCAAAAACAGAUUGUUGAGUUGUAAGGGUGUAAAUAGUCAUGAAAUAUCUAAUUUUUUUUUAUUUUUAGUGCAAAAAAAAUUUACUGUUUUAUUAAAGUCACCAUUAAAACAAAUUCGACAAUUUUUUUUUUUUUUAUAGGAUAUUGCAGUAUUUAUUAAAAAUGAAUCAUUUGUGCACUUCAUUAUUUUUUAAAUUCUUUAAUCUUUAAUCAAAAUAACUCCCUCUCCUUCUUGCAGCGACAUUUCUUCUAUUCUCUGAUGAUGUCCAAUCAAUUCCCCAUGGACAAAAUCAAGCCCCGCCCUCUAUUCUUGUUCCAGAAGCUGUUUCACUCGGAUAUACUUCACAUUAGGCAAGAAAAGACUAUCACAUCUUUCAUUUUAUGACUUUAAUAAUCUGGAGAACAGCAGAUGAAGCACAGUGGUAUCAAGCAAUCUUCCCACAUAAUCUGAUCAGUACUUCUUGAUCUGGGACACUUCAUGCAGGCCGUCGUCAAAGCCUCCGAUGGGAAGCAUAAUGAUGCUCUUGCCUGUUACAUCCUGAAAGGUUCUGGCAACGGGAAUCGUGCCUCCCUCACGGAUUAAGUCAGGCUCUACGUCAAAAACUGCAGGAGAGAGGUACCUGGCGAAUAGAGAACUUAGCUAUAACUUUGGCCGGUAUGACAGUCUUGGAGCCUGAUGAAGAGAAAGCUCCCUCUAUGCCAUGGAUAGACACGGUCGGGUAACGCCAACGAUGGAAUACAUCAGCUCGUCCACGCCGAUCUCCUGCUUGUAGCUCUCCAAGUCAAACUCAAUGUCUUGAUACAUCUUCCAUUCCUCAUCAGAAAGAGGUGCGACUGCUUCCCUAAUGCCGGGAAUGAGGAUUUUCCCACUGGGG